rnacentral:rRNA from 1 species
AACAGGAUUAGAUACCCUGGUAGUCCACGCCGUAAACGAUGUCGACUUGGAGGUUGUGCCCUUGAGGCGUGGCUUCCGGAGCUAACGCGUUAAGUCGACCGCCUGGGGAGUACGGCCGCAAGGUUAAAACUCAAAUGAAUUGACGGGGGCCCGCACAAGCGGUGGAGCAUGUGGUUUAAUUCGAUGCAACGCGAAGAACCUUACCUACUCUUGGCAUCCAGAGAACUUAGCAGAGAUGCUUUGGUGCCUUCGGGAACUCUGAGACAGGUGCUGCAUGGCUGUCGUCAGCUCGUGUUGUGAAAUGUUGGGUUAAGUCCCGCAACGAGCGCAACCCUUAUCCUUUGUUGCCAGCGGUCCGGCCGGGAACUCAAAGGAGACUGCCAGUGAUAAACUGGAGGAAGGUGGGGAUGACGUCAAGUCAUCAUGGCCCUUACGAGUAGGGCUACACACGUGCUACAAUGGCAUAUACAAAGAGAAGCGACCUCGCGAGAGCAAGCGGACCUCAUAAAGUAUGUCGUAGUCCGGAUUGGAGUCUGCAACUCGACUCCAUGAAGUCGGAAUCGCUAGUAAUCGUGGAUCAGAAUGCCACGGUGAAUACGUUCCCGGGCCUUGUACACACCGCCCGUCACACCAUGGGAGUGGGUUGCAAAAGAAGUAGGUAGCUUAACCUUCGGGAGGGCGCUUACCACUUUGUGAUUCAUGACUGGGGUGAAGUCGUAACAAGGUAACC